CCAAACAAGUUUUGGGGAAUAUAGUUGUCAUAUCCGAGAUCGAUUUCAAAGCACUACUCGUACAAUUUCGAUCCAGAAUGAUACAGGUAAUACUGCAUCGACUUAUUCAACCUUCAUAAAUUUGAUAAACCAAAAUCUAAUCAGAACACAAUCAUUUCUGUUUUAAAUGUGUUAUCUUGAAUGAUUACGUGAUCCAAAGAAGUGCAUUUUCAGACAUUCAAAGUUAACGCGUUGUUUAUUUUUUACAUAGGUGCAGAAGAUGGUGAAAACUUUCUUGCUGGAAUUAUAGUAUUAGCAGUUCUGCUGCUCAUUUCACUUGUUAUCCUCGCUUACUUCAUCUAUCAAAAUCGACUCAAAUCAUCAAAGGCAAACCCAGAGAACAAGAGCAGUGACAGAAAUAAUUCAAAAGAUAUUUAUGAAAAUCCUGACAAAAUCCAAGAUGAUGCGAAUUAUGAACAAAUGGUAAAUGAACAGUCGACGUAUAAAGGUCUCGAAAAGACUGGGGAGGAAGAAAAUGAUGAUCACUUAUAUAGUCAUCUAAAUGAAGUACACACUACGUGGAUCAGAAGGAAACUGGAAUUUAAGGGGGCUCUUGUACGAAGCCCGUCUGGUAUAUGUAGUGAAUAAGCUUAAUACAGAUAAUAAGAAAUAAAUUUGUUAAAUAACCAAACUGAACUCUUUCGACUUGAAUAGAAGAUUACUAAUACCAAGUAAUUGUUGAACUGUUAUCAUAAUACCAGAAAUGUAUAAAACACAAUCUAUAGCCGUGUUUACGUGAUUUAGGAAUGUUUGAUAUUUGUUAUUCCUGCAAUUUCAAAAGCACCACAGACUUCCCGCUGAG